rnacentral:rRNA from 1 species
ACGCUCGACACCUACGAGAGGCAGCAGUGGGGAAUAUUGCACAAUGGGGGAAACCCUGAUGCAGCGACGCCGCGUGAGCGAAGAAGUAUUUCGGUAUGUAAAGCUCUAUCAGCAGGGAAGAAACUGACGGUACCUGACUAAGAAGCACCGGCUAAAUACGUGCCAGCAGCCACGGUAAUCUGAGCGGGCUGGCAAGGC